rnacentral:rRNA from 1 species
CCUACGGGAGGCAGCAGUGGGGAAUAUUGCACAAUGGGGGGAACCCUGAUGCAGCGACGCCGCGUGAGCGAAGAAGUAUUUUGGUAUGUAAAGCUCUAUCAGCAGGGAAGAUAAUGACGGUACCUGACUAAGAAGCCCCGGCUAACUACGUGCCAGCAGCCGCGGUAAUACGUAGGGGGCAAGCGUUAUCCGGAUUUACUGGGUGUAAAGGGAGCGUAGACGGCAGGGCAAGUCUGAUGUGAAAACCCGGGGCUCAACUCCGGGAGUGCAUUGGAAACUGUCAAGCUGGAGUGCAGGAGAGGUAA